AUUGAACGCUGGCGGCAUGCUUUACACAUGCAGGUCGAACGGUAACAGGCCUUCUGGUGCUGACGAGUGGCGAACGGGUGAGUAAUGCAUCGGAACGUACCCAGAGGUGGGGGAUAACGCAGCGAAAGCUGUGCUAAUACCGCAUGUGAUCUGAGGAUGAAAGCGGGGGACCGAGCAGCAAUGUUUGGCCUCGCGCCUUUGGAGCGGCCGAUGUCGGAUUAGCUAGUUGGUGGGGUAAAGGCCUACCAAGGCGACGAUCCGUAGCUGGUCUGAGAGGACGACCAGCCACACUGGGACUGAGACACGGCCCAGACUCCUACGGGAGGCAGCAGUGGGGAAUUUUGGACAAUGGGCGCAAGCCUGAUCCAGCAAUGCCGCGUGCGGGAAGAAGGCCUUCGGGUUGUAAACCGCUUUUGGCAGGAACGAAACGGUGUCCGCUAAUACCGGGCGCUAAUGACGGUACCUGCAGAAUAAGCACCGGCUAACUACGUG
rnacentral:rRNA from 1 species